AUUGAACGCUGGCGGCAUGCCUUACACAUGCAAGUCGAACGGUAACAGGUCUUCGGAUGCUGACGAGUGGCGAACGGGUGAGUAAUACAUCGGAACGUGCCUAGUAGUGGGGGAUAACUACUCGAAAGAGUGGCUAAUACCGCAUGAGAUCUACGGAUGAAAGCAAGGGAUCGCAAGACCUUGUGCUACUAGAGCGGCCGAUGGCAGAUUAGGUAGUUGGUGGGAUAAAAGCUUACCAAGCCGACGAUCUGUAGCUGGUUUGAGAGGACGAUCAGCCACACUGGGACUGAGACACGGCCCAGACUCCUACGGGAGGCAGCAGUGGGGAAUUUUGGACAAUGGGCGAAAGCCUGAUCCAGCAAUGCCGCGUGCAGGAUGAAGGCCUUCGGGUUGUAAACUGCUUUUGUACGGAACGAAAAGCCCCGGGUUAAUACCCUGGGGUCAUGACGGUACCGUAAGAAUAAGCACCGGCUAACUACGUGCCAGCAGCCGCCGUAA
rnacentral:rRNA from 1 species